GAGAUCAUACCCUGAGCUGAAAUCAAGAGUCAGUCACUCAACCAACUGAGCCACCCAGAUAAGAAAACUGAGGCUUUCCCCAAAGUUUCCCCAAACUUUAAUUGUUCGUUGUCACCGUGAUCUCUGCUGUGUCCAGGUGCCCUUGUGAAGCAGCUUCAUGCCUGAUUCCAACCCAUUUGUCUGGUCUGUUUCCUUGUUCAUCUUCUGUGUUGCUGCUUUUUUUUUUUUCGUCUUUACUGAAAACAAUUAUUGGAAAAGAAAAUCCUACAUUCCUACCAUUAAAGGAGAACCAGUAUGACAUGUCAUAGGAAAAAGCAACUAUAAAAAUAACACCAAAAAAAAAAUAAAUAAAACA